rnacentral:misc_RNA from 1 species
UAAAGCCAUGGCACCAUAUAUACCUGAAAUAUAUAUAUAUAUAUAUAUAAUCCAAUACUUCUAGAGGCCCAGACCAUGUGCUUGCUGAGUUCUGCUUGAACUUAUUAAACUAUAGCCAUGUGGCGAGGCAUUAUGAACAGGCUGCCUUACAUUGUUACUUUGAUGAGAAUGAGCAAAUCCAGGAUUUCCAUUCAAUGAGAAAUUUCUCCAUUGGUUAGCUUUUUGCACGAGAAUUUGGCAGGAUAUGUUGUGAACCUGAGCUCAGCAACCGGAAAUGGUUGAUUUCCUUCGACUCAUUCUCUAAGGGAGUGGCAGCAUAAGGAGGAUAUUGCGGAAAGAAUGAAGACAUUGUUGCGAGCGGACAGAGAAAGAAUUGAGAAGCAGAGGAAAAAGGUUGUGAUGAUGAUGAUGGUGGCAAUGAAACAGUGCUGUUGCUGUUGAGGGAAGUUUCUGUUUGGGGUAGAAAUCCAUGGAUCGGAAAUUGAUCCCAAUGGAAGUAGGGAUUGAAGGAAAUGGGAUUGUUUGGCAAACCAGGUAAGGAAGAUUGAGUACUACUACUGGUUAGAGGAAAGAACUUUUGAGCUGAGACUUUUCCAGUAGUAGUGUAAUUGCAAAACCAAUUUUGAUUUUCUUGUUCAUUUGUUUUGAUCCACUUUCCUUUGUCAGCAAUACUAACUUCAACUUCAUUACUUCUUCCUGAUCUCAAUGAAGCUUCAGCUGCCUCCCAAUUCUUAUUAGAAUUUGCCACUGUGUGUUGGUGAUCCCUUCCAUCAAGACUACUGCUAUUACCAUUGAUCUUUAUUCCUAGGGAGUGAAAUCCUCCAUCCGAAUUCGAAUCAAAGAAACUAGGAACAAGAGAUGAAUUUGAUAGCUGAGAAAGCAGCAUCUGCUGAUCAUGGAAUUGGCCAAAUCCUUGAGGAAUCUGGAGAGGUGGAAGCUUAUCAAUAUCAUUUUUAGUGGCAUCAAGCAACCAAUCUAUUACCUUGCUAGGCUGGCUCAACCCCAGCCUAUCUUGAAGAUCAUAUAACUGAAUGGCUGUGGGCACAGAAAGCCUGAUUCGCCUGUCCCUCAAUCCCUUCACAGUGCAAACCUUGCUAUGCCUAUCUUUUCUUCCAAAAGAUCGCGACACUCGCACAAUUCUUGGAUUCCUAAAUGCUGACCAAUGUCUUGAAGGAGUAGAUGGUGCUGCCUUGGAUAACUUGUUGUCAUUAGCAGCAUCUCCCUCUCCCUUUGCUUGAAAAACCUUUUCUCUUGAACCUGUAAUCAUCUUAUUUCUUCUCUCAUCAUUGAGUUGCAAAGUCUAGACUUAAUUACAUCAGGCAGAAAAUUGUAGGGUUCUUGCAACUGAAAGACUAUGCUUAAUUAGCAUGGCUGAUCUGAAGGAGGAGGAGCAGCAGCAGCAGCAAGAAAAGGUAAUAAUAACGUCAUGAAAGUCCUACUCAUGUCUUGUUUUUUCAAUUUAAAUGACCCUGAGAAGGUCUAAACUUCACAAUAUCAAAUGUAUCUGCAAAUUAAGAAUAUGAAUUUGAAGAAAUGUUUCAUAAUUUUAGGAAAGAAAGGUAAUUAGAGAUGCCAGAUUUUUU